rnacentral:rRNA from 1 species
AUGAUGGAGAGUGAAACCCAACCUGCCUCUCCGCCCCAGGGGGCAGGCGACCCUGAGGUGUCGUCACGGAGGAGUCCAGAUCCGCUGAGGCAAGAAGCCGACACUUUGGCCGCCCCGAGCCCGGCGUGUUCGGCUCCCUUGGAGGGCGAUGAGAAAGGUCUGGAACAGUCUGGUGCCUGGCCGAACAUGCUGACGGGCCUCCUGGAGCAAGCUGCUCUCUCAGAGGGUCACUGUACGCUAAUGGGUACGGUGCUGGAGAAGAUUUCAUCCGCCACAAGCGGGUUAAAUGAAGCUUUUGGAAGUUUCCUCAAAGGCUUCGAGGUACGCGAUACAACACGUAAUUUUUGA